rnacentral:rRNA from 1 species
UACGGGGGGAGCAAGCGUUGUUCGGAUUUACUGGGCGUAAAGGGCGCGUAGGCGGCCACCGCAAGUCGACUGUGAAAUCUCCGGGCUUAACCCGGAAAGGUCAGCCGAUACUGUCGAGCUAGAGUGUAGAAGAGGCAACUGGAAUUCCGUGUGUAGCGGUGAAAUGCGUAGAUACCAGGAGGAACACCGGUGGCGAAGGCGGUUUCCUGGCCGAGUACUGACGCUGAGGCACGAAAGCGUGGGGAGCGAACGGG